UGAAGGAAGACUCCCUGAAGGGACUAAUUAGCCAUAUUGUAUAUAUGGGUGCUGUGGAAAUGUAUGUCAUGUUACAACCAGUUCAAAUAUGAAACAGAAAAAAUAAUUUUUUUUUCUAUCCGAUUUUUUUGGCUUUUUAAAAUAUUUACCACGUGGUUAUUUCAGGGCUAGUAUAAUAAAGUUUUUUUCAAACGAUUAUGAAGCAUUUUAAGCGCUACGAGUCCCGAACUCUGGGUUUAUCACUUAUAAAUACAAUAUACAAAUACUCGGGCGAUUCCCGUUUUCGCCACAGUCCUUUUUUGCUAAAAACCAAAAAUUUACGAUUCCCGUUUCCGUUGAAAUAGUUUUAGAAACCAAUGGUUUUAAUUUUUAUUUGUAAAACAUCUAGGUUCAUUUAGUUUAAUGUAACCUAUUGUAACAAGUCAAUAUCAUUUAACCGAUAAUUUAAUAAUAAUAUAACAAAUAUUGCGAAGAGCCAAAGAAUACCUAAUGUAGUAGGUAUACACUUUUGUUAAAACGGUUUCAUUUAAUUGCGUGAUUUUUUAAACUUUUACUAUUAUUAUAAUUAUUGACUUAUAUCGUUAUUACUAUAAAGUAUUAGUGCUUACAUUUUAGGUAUGCACAAUUUCAAAACAAUAUUUGGCGGAAACGUCUCUUUACAAAAUAGAUUUUGACUGAAACGGAAACCGUACCAUUUUCGUUUUUGGCGGAAAAGGGCUACGCUGAAUUAUUGGGAACCCGGUUUUUUUUUGG